GCCAAUGUAGCUCAGUUGGUAGAGCAAUAGUUUUGUAAACUAUAGGUCGUCGGUUCGAACCCGACCAUUGGCU
rnacentral:tRNA from 2 species